rnacentral:tRNA from 1 species
ACUUUUAAAGGAAACUAGAUAACCCAUAGC